ACACAUGCAAGUCGAGCGGUAGAGAGAAGCUUGCUUCUCUUGAGAGCGGCGGACGGGUGAGUAAUGCCUAGGAAUCUGCCUGGUAGUGGGGGAUAACGUUCGGAAACGAACGCUAAUACCGCAUACGUCCUACGGGAGAAAGCAGGGGACCUUCGGGCCUUGCGCUAUCAGAUGAGCCUAGGUCGGAUUAGCUAGUUGGUGAGGUAAUGGCUCACCAAGGCGACGAUCCGUAACUGGUCUGAGAGGAUGAUCAGUCACACUGGAACUGAGACACGGUCCAGACUCCUACGGGAGGCAGCAGUGGGGAAUAUUGGACAAUGGGCGAAAGCCUGAUCCAGCCAUGCUGCGUGUGUGAAGAAGGUCUUCGGAUUGUAAAGCACUUUAAGUUGGGAGGAAGGGCAGUUACCUAAUACGUGAUUGUUUUGACGUUACCGACAGAAUAAGCACCGGCUAACUCUGUGCCAGCAGCCGCGGUAAUACAGAGGGUGCAAGCGUUAAUCGGAAUUACUGGGCGUAAAGCGCGCGUAGGUGGUUUGUUAAGUUGGAUGUGAAAUCCCCGGGCUCAACCUGGGAACUGCAUUCAAAACUGACUGACUAGAGUAUGGUAGAGGGUGGUGGAAUUUCCUGUGUAGCGGUGAAAUGCGUAGAUAUAGGAAGGAACACCAGUGGCGAAAGCGACCACCUGGACUAAUACUGACACUGAGGUGCGAAAGCGUGGGGAGCAAACA
rnacentral:rRNA from 1 species